rnacentral:SRP_RNA from 2 species
GCCGGGUGUGGUGGCUCAUGCCUGUAAUCCCAGCACUUUGGGAGGCUGAGGUGGGUGGAUCACCUGAGGUCAGGAGUUCGAGACCAGCCUGACCAACAUGGUGAAACCCCGUCUCUA